rnacentral:snRNA from 1 species
GUACAUACCUGGCAGGGGAGACACCACGAUCACGAAGGUGGUUUUCCCAGGCAAGGCUCAUCCAUUGCACUCCGGAUGUGCUGACCCCUGUGAUUUCCCCAAAUGUGGGAAACUCGACUCCAUCAUUUUUUUUCUUCAUUAAUAUUGUAAAUUUUUAUUU